rnacentral:rRNA from 1 species
AUUGAACGCUGGCGGCAGGCCUAACACAUGCAAGUCGAGCGGUUGAGGGGAGCUUGCUCCCUGAUUCAGCGGCGGACGGGUGAGUAAUGCCUAGGAAUCUGCCUAUUAGUGGGGGACAACGUUUCGAAAGGAACGCUAAUACCGCAUACGUCCUACGGGAGAAAGCAGGGGACCUUCGGGCCUUGCGCUAAUAGAUGAGCCUAGGUCGGAUUAGCUUGUUGGUGAGGUAAUGGCUCACCAAGGCGACGAUCCGUAACUGGUCUGAGAGGAUGAGCAGUCACACUGGAACUGAGACACGGUCCAGACUCCUACGGGAGGCAGCAGUGGGGAAUAUUGGACAAUGGGCGAAAGCCUGAUCCAGCCAUGCCGCGUGUGUGAAGAAGGUCUUCGGAUUGUAAAGCACUUUAAGUUGGGAGGAAGGGUUGUAGAUUAAUACUCUGCAAUUUUGACGUUACCGACAGAAUAAGCACCGGCUAACUCUGUGCCAGCCGCCGCUGUAAAAC